UAUAGAAACACGAAAAUCUGUUUCAGUA
rnacentral:sRNA from 1 species